AGAAAAUAACAAUCAUAUAUACGAAAGUUACGAAGCUGAAAAUGACAAAGUGGACGAAAAGUAUUUUGUUAUGUUAAAAACAUGUCGGGCGCUUAUCGAAGAAAAAGACUAUGAUACAUACGUAUUAAGACUAAACAAUAAUGAUUGUGUACCAUUGCCCAAAUCAUUGUGGGAAAGUGAACUAAUUGCUUCAAAAAAAAUAAAGAUUGAAAAUUUAUCGGAGU